GAUUAGGGGGCGAGCGUUGUCCGAAGUUACUGGGCGUAAAGCGCGCGUAGGCGGUUAUUCAAGUCUGGGGUGAAAGGUUCAGCGCUCAACGUGAACAGUGCCUUGGAUACUGGAUGACUUGAGUCUGGAAGGGGGAAGGGGAAUUCCUGGUGUAGCGGUGAAAUGCGUAUUAUAUCAGGAGGAACACCGGUGGCGAAGGCGCCUUCCUGGUCUAAGACUGACGCUGAGGUGCGAAAGCGUGGGGAGCAAACGGGAUUAGAUACCCCGGUAGUCCACGCCGUAAACGAUGAGUUGCUAGGUGUCCGGGGUAUCUACCC
rnacentral:rRNA from 1 species